rnacentral:rRNA from 1 species
UACAGAGGGUGCGAGCGUUGUUCGGAAUUACUGGGCGUAAAGCGCGCGCAGGCGGCCACUUAAGUCCGCUGGUGAAAGGCCGGGGCUCAACCCCGUGUCAGCCAGGGAUACUGGGUGGCUGGAGACAGGUAGAGGCAAGCGGAAUUCCGGGUGUAGCGGUGGAAUGCGUAGAGAUCCGGAAGAACACCGGAGGCGAAGGCGGCUUGCUGGACCUGGUCUGACGCUGAGGCGCGAAAGCGUGGGGAGCGAACAGG